CAGUCCUUGAAUCUGUAGGAUGAGUUGAGGGAUGCAGUGCUGCUUGUAUUCGCUAACAAGCAAGAUCUUCCAAAUGCAAUGAAUGCUGCUGAGAUCACUGACAAACUCGGUCUCCACUCUCUUCGUCAACGCCACUGGUACAUCCAAAGUACAUGUGCCACCUCUGGGGAAGGGCUCUAUGAGGGUCUUGACUGGCUGUCCAACAAUAUAGCAAACAAGGCUUAAAAUGAUGACAAAAACUUCGGCAGCCUCUUGUUUUGAAUGUGUCAAAGUGGAAUGUCCAUUAUCUUCUGUUUAUGAAUUUCUUAGUGUUACUAUUCUAAGAAUGUAUUUUGUUUAGAUAAUUACUACAAAGUGAUUGAUGCCGUUUGGCCCUGUAGAUUUAAAUAAUUCAAGAUUUUUAGUCUCCCUGCCAUUCCAUACAUUCUGUUGUGUUUAGAGUUCCAAUCAAUGGAUGGAUGUUGAAUAGUUACCA